AACGUCUGUCGCUCCCGUUACCGAGGCAACCGCGCCGCCUCCUCCGCGCCUGCCCCGAUCGUCUCUCCGCGCCAUUUUCAAACUGUGCUAGCACCGGAGCCGGUGUCUGGGACGGAAGGAGCCAGCGAGGGAGACGAGGCGCGAGGGGGGAUGCGACCGCAGGCGGAGGGAGCAGCGGCCGGAGCAGCGGGAUUUUAAUUUUUGGAAGUGAAUAAAACUAGUUUGGAGACAAGAUGACUACAGCUGCAGAAAGAAAAUAUAUUAAUAUUAGGAAAAGAUUGGAUCAGUUGGGAUACCGCCAGACUCUGACAGUGGAGUGCUUACCUUUGGUAGAAAAACUUUUCAGUGAUCUAGUUCAUACAACAGAAAGCCUUCGGAAAUCAAAAUUAUCUGCUGUGAAAGCUGAAAAAGAAAGUGCCAAUUUUGAUUUUGUAUUGGAACCUUAUAAACUUGAAAAUGCAAGAUUGAGUAAAGAAAAUAAUGAAUUAUACUUGGAAUUAAUGAAACUGAGAGAACAAUCAGGCCAACACAUUAAAGAGUUGAAAACCACAUUGAAAAAGUGUGCACGUGAAACAGCUGAUCUGAAAUUUCUAAAUAAUCAAUACGUUCAUAAACUCAAACUUUUGGAGAAAGAGAGCAAAGCUAAGAAUGAAAAAAUUCAACAACUUCAAGAAAAGAAUUUGCAAGCUGUAGUACAAACUCCAGGUGGCAAGAAAAGAAGUAUUGCUUUCAGGCGCCAGCGUAUGCAAAUUGACGAGCCAGCGCCUCCCUCUGAAGUCAGUUCUUAUCCAGUUCCUCAGCCGGAUGACCCUUACAUUGCAGACCUGUUGCACGUGGCUGAUAACAGAAUUCAAGAACUUCAGCAAGAGGUCUACCAAUUACAAGAAAAGUUAGCAACGAUGGAAAGUGGACUGAGAGAUUAUAACAAGCAGAUUGAACUAAGAGAACGAGAGAUAGAACGACUGUCGGUUGCAUUGGAUGGGGGUCGCUCCCCUGAUAUCCUGUCUCUGGAAACUAGAAAUAAAGCCAAUGAAAAGCUUAUUGCUCAUUUAAAUAUUCAGGUUGACUUUCUUCAGCAAGCUAAUAAAGAGCUGGAAAAGCAUAUACAAGAGCUUAUGGAAACCAAGGAAACAGUAACUACUGAAGUUGUUAAUUUAAGUAACAAAAAUGAAAAACUCUGCCAGGAAUUAACUGAAAUAGACCAGUUAGCACAGCAGUUGGAAAGACAUAAAGAAGAAGUGCUUGAGACUGCCGACAAAGAACUCGAGGAAGCAAAGAAAGAGAUUAAAAAAAAGCUCUCUGAAAUGCGGGAUCUUGAAGAAACAAUGGGAAAACUUCAACUGGAAUUAAACUUAUGUCAUAAAGAAAAGGAGAGACUGAGUGAUGAACUCCUUAUAAAAUCAGACCUGGAAACUGUUGUUCAUCAGCUUGAACAAGAAAAGCAAAGACUUAACAAAAAAAUUGAAAGUUUUGCAGUUACAGAAAGAGAACUUACUUUGGAAGUUGAGAGGAUGAGGCUAGAACAUGGAAUAAAACGACGAGACAAGUCACCUUCUCGUUUAGAUACAUUUCUGAAAGGUAUAGAAGAUGAACGAGAUUUUUAUAAGAAAGAGCUAGAAAGACUGCAACAUAUAAUACAGCGACGAUCUUGCUCUAGAAGUCAUCCUACAUGUGAAAAAAUUCCAGUAUUUAAAACACUAGAAAAGGGUGAUUACAACUCAGAAAUUCAUGUGAUCACAAGAGAAAGAGACGAACUUCAGCGUAUGCUAGAAAGAUUUGAAAAACAUAUGGAGGAUAUACAGUCCAAUGUUAAAUUAUUGACAGCAGAAAGAGAUAAACUAAGUGUCUUAUAUAAUGAAGCUCAGGAAGAAUUAUCUGCACUAAGACAAGAAUCUACCCAAACCACAGUCUCCCAUAAUACUGUUAGUUUUAUGGAAAAGGAAAAAGAACUUGCAUUAUCUGACUUAAGAAGGAUUAUGGCAGAAAAGGAAGCUUUAAAAGAAAAGUUAAAACAUCUCCAGGAAAUGAGUAUUUUUGGAAAAUCAGAGCUAGAGAAAACUGUUGAACAUUUGACAUGUGUUAAUCACCAGCUUGAAAACGAAAACUGUGAAUUAAAGUCUAAAAUGUUAAUAAUGAAAGAAACAAUAGAGUCUUUAGAGAAAAAAGUAAAACUCCAAACUCAGAAACUUAGCCAUGUGACUGGUGACUCAUCUCAUCAGAAAACAGAGAUGAACUCACUUAGGCUAGUAAAUGAGCAGCUACAGCGGUCACUUGAGGACUAUCAGCACCGACUUUCCAUGAAAAGAAGUGAACUUGAAUCAGCCCAAGCACAAGUUAAAAUACUGGAGGAAAAAAUAGGUAAACUACACCUCAAGAUGACUUCACAGAAUGAAGAGGCUCAUGUAAUGAAAAAGACCAUUGGUGUUAUUGAUAAAGAAAAAGACAUUCUUCAGGAGACUGUGGAUGAGAAGACAGAAAAGAUUGCAAACUUGCAUGAAAACCUAGCUAAUAAAGAAAAAGCUAUUACUCAGAUGAAGAUAGCAGUGUCAGAGUAUGAAUCUUCUAUGAACCACCUAAAGGAAACAUUGAUUAAUCGGGACCGUGAAAUAAGCAGCCUGCGGCGCCAGCUUGAUGCAGCUCACAAGGAACUUGAUGAAGUAGGAAGAUCUAAGGAAAUGUCUUUUAAGGAAAACAGAAGAUUGCAAGAUGAUCUGGCUACAGUGGCAAGAGAAAACCAGCAAAUUUCAUUGGAAUUAGAAGCAGCAGUGCAAGAAAAAGAAGAAAUGAAGAGUAGAGUUCAUAAUUACAUAACUGAAGUGUCACGAUGGGAGAGCUUAAUGGCUGCUAAGGAAAAAGAAAAUCAAGAUUUGUUAGAUAGAUUUCAGAUGCUUCAUAACCGCGCUGAAGACUGGGAGGUCAAAGCCCAUCAAGCUGAGGGAGAAAGCAGCUCAGUUCGACUGGAACUUCUUUCUAUUGACACAGAGAGGAGACACCUUCGAGAAAGAGUGGAGCUACUAGAAAAAGAAAUUCAGGAGCACAUAAAUGCACAUCAUGCAUAUGAAUCUCAGAUCUCAUCGAUGACAAAAGGCAUAUCUAGAUUAGAAGAAGAGCUGAGACACCAAGAAGAUGAGAAAGCAGCAGUAUUAAAUGAUUUGUCAUCUCUUAGAGAACUUUGCAUUAAGCUUGAUUCAGGCAAAGAUAUUAUGACCCAACAAUUGAAUUCCAAAAAUCUUGAAUUUGAGAGGGUUGCAAUGGAAUUAGAAAAUGUAAAAUCAGAAUCAGAGCUGUUAAAAAAACAACUGUCAAGUGAGAGACAUACAAUUAAAAACCUUGAAUCAUUGUUGGCUACAAAUAGAGAUAAAGAAUUUCAUUCCCAUUUAACCUCCCACGAGAAGGAUACAGAAAUUCAGCUACUUAAAGAGAAGUUAACCCUUUCAGAAAGCAAAUUAAAUAGUCAAAGCCGGGAAAACACCAUGCUUCGGGCUAAAAUGGCACAAUUACAAACAGAUCUUGAUGUUCUGAAAAGGCAGAUUUCAACUGAAAGAUAUGAACGAGAACGAGCAAUCCAAGAGAUGCGCCGGCAUGGUCUUCGCACACCACCCCUUAGUUCUACUCUCAGAUCUCCUUUACAUUCUCCUGAACAUGUAAACUGAUUAUCAGAAAGGACCACUUCCUAGUGCUGACUGCAAUCACUGUGUCCUCACAACUUCUAAGCUGCUGCAUUAAUUUGAAUGUGAUUAGAUGGAGGUUCAGCUUCUCAUUAUAAAGCCUCGUGGCAGUUGAUGGACACCUGGGUUGUUUUCACAUCUUAGCUAUUGUGAAUAAUGCUGCUAUGAACAUUGGUGUACAAGUAUCUGUUUUAGUCUGUUCUCAUAUCUUUUGGGAGUACCUAGAGUUGCUGGGUCAUAAGAAUGAUGGCUUUCAGUGAGUUGGCUAUAUGGAUUUUUUAAAGGACAAACUGUAAUGAAAUAUUUGAAGUACUUGUUCCUGAAAAUCAUGAACAUUGACACAAAUUCUACCUCUGUCAACUUUUAUUUAAAUCAGUGAAUAUUUAUGUAAAAAAUUUGAUUUAAAAGAGCUAUAUCUAUGUGUAUAUUUUCAUAUGUGUGACAGAAGAGAAUAUGUAUUAAUAGUGCUGAUGUUUUUUCUGUAUUUUUAUUACUCCUGCCUUAAAUUACUCCUCAAAGUGUGUUUAUACUGUGAAUUAGUAUAAUGUAUUAUUCACAUUAUGCUUUAAUAAUCGUUUUCUUAAUGAGCCACGAUACAUGUAUGUAAAUAUUCUAGUUUCCAUGCCUGUGUUUAUAACCCAUACCUUUAAUGCAUUCACGAAGGAUGAUCAACCUUGAUGCUGUGGUGUCAUGUUUAACUUUUUUCUUCUAAAUGUAAAAUGAAUUAUUCACCAUUUUGCUGUCUGUCAUUGAGAGGACUAUAUUCAGGUCUAUUCUUAUAAUAGCAGAGGUCUUGAUAAAAUAAUGGCUACCAUAUAUAAUUUGUUAUUGCCAACUAGAAGAACUGUGAUAGAAAAGAUACAUUCAUGUAUUAUAUACAAUAUUAUAAUAUUUUGGCUAUCACAUGGACUCUUCACAUAAUACAAAUGCUAUCAAAAUUAAACUAAAAGCUGCAUUUAGAAUUUUGGGAAAUGGUAGAACAGAAAUUUGGGAUAUUUUUCAAUAAAUAAAAUUCCUCACUGUACUAAUCUAAAAUGUUGAGUACAAAAGUAUAUGAGGUAAAUACAGUAAAACAUUUUGUUGAAAUUCCAAUAUACAUUCAAUAAUAUCCGGUUUUUUGCUUCUAAACUGUGUGUUGUAAUUUAUCAGUCUUUCAGAAUAGUAUGUAAACACUGACCUGUUGUGGCAUACUAAAUAGAAAACAACUUUUUACAAUCAAUUUUCAAAGUUGUAACUUUAAAGAAUUUAGAUAUAUACAGAUAUUAAUAAAAGAACAGAAGUACAAAAUAGAUUGUCAUACAAAAACUAAUCGUGUUCAAACCAUACACAUUUGAAGAAAACCCUGUUAUUAAUAGACUUCAUUAUGACCGAAAAAGAACUUAAGAAAUAACUUAGAAAAGUAGAAGACCAGUUAUUUAUGAUGCAUUUUAUUUUCUCCUGUGGUUUAGUAAAAUGGAGUUUGUGUGUACCUGGGGGUGGGCAAUGCUCUUUUUCUAAAACUAAUAUUCCUUUUAUGUUCAGAUUAUGCUCUUUGCAAUUAUUCAGGGUGUGAUGGGGCUUACUUUUUCACCAUCCAUGUAAUUUUAUGUAUUCUUAUCUCCUGUGUGUGAAUUCACAGAUUACAGCAAAAUACAACAGAACUGGGACUAUUUACAGUGUCAUAUGGAAAACCUUUUAAUAAAUAUACGUAAAUAAAAUUUUAAAAAAUUUGUCCCCACCUUUUCCCCCACAGCAACAGCAAGACAUGUUUUGUUAGAUAUUUUUAAUGUUUUCUAUAAUUAAAAAGUGUAUAGUUUGCCAUAACUGUUAUUUUUAUAACCAUGAUACUAUAAUUUUUAAGUAGUUUUAAAAUACCAAAUGUUCUGACCUUUUAUAGAUGUUUUUAAUUUGUUUUAAAUAAUCUUAAAUUAUGAAGCUUGGCAUAGAUUUUCCA